rnacentral:misc_RNA from 1 species
AACCAUAGAAACCUGCGGAGUACCUGCGGAAGGAUCAUUAAAAAAAAUGAAGCCGGCCCCUAAAAAAGGCUGGCAUUCAUAAAUCCUCAACACCCUAUGUGCACUUAUCGAACCUUUUUGCUUUGGCAGGAAGAAAUUCCUGCCAGAGGUAUCCCAUCAAAACCUGAUUGUUUUGACUGACCUUUUUUAUCAAAUACAAAAAUUGAUACAACUUUCAACAAUGGAUCUCAGAUCGGAAGA